ensembl:snRNA U6 U6 spliceosomal RNA
GUGCUCACUUUGGCAGCACAUAUACUAAAAUUGGGACAAUACAGAGAAGAUUAGUAUGGCUCCUGAGCAAGGAUGACUUGCAAAUUCGGAAGUGUUCCAUAUUUUU